GACCUCAACAAUAUGGUCAAGUACAGAAGACCUGAGCAAGUAUAGCACCUGUAGGCAUGCUAAUGUGGACGGGGGUAUCUCAUGCACCUCCUCCCACAGACAACGAAACUCAGGCAACUAAAGCCUGCCAAGACUGGGGGUAUCUCGUGCACCUCCUCCCACAGACAACGAAACUCAGGCAACUAAAGCCUGCCAAGACUGGGAGAAAUUGUCUUUCCCAGGGAAGAGCUGCCAGCCAAGAGGUCAGCUCUGUAAUCAUAUACAUAAAAGUAACACUAAAUGGACUGACCUGUGUGUGUGUGUGUGUGUGUGUGUGUGUGUCUCUAUGUGCCUGUGUGUCUGUGUGUGCCUGUGUGUCUGUACAUGCCUGUGUGUAUGUAUCUGUGUGUGUUUGUGUCUGUGUGUCUGUGUGUGUAUGUGUAUAAAACAACAACAAAAAA
rnacentral:lncRNA from 1 species